GGUUAAGCUAGUAAGAGCGCACGGAGGAUGCCUAGGCACCAGGAGCCGAAGAAGGACGUGGCGAACAACGAUACCGCCUCGGGGAGCCGUAAGCAGGCUUUGAUCCGGGGAUUUCCGAAUGGGGAAACCCAGCUGG
rnacentral:rRNA from 1 species